AGUGGCGCACGGGUGCGUAACACGUGGGUAAUCAACCCUUUGGUCUGGGACAACGUUGGGAAACUGACGCUAAUACCGGAUAUGACGGCGGACACUUUGGUGUUUGUCGGGAAAGACCCGCAAGGGUCGCCAUAGGACGAGCUCGCGUCCCAUCAGCUAGUUGGUGAGGUAAUGGCUCACCAAGGCGAAGACGGGUAACUGGUCUGAGAGGAUGAUCAGUCACACUGGAACUGAGACACGGUCCAGACUCCUACGGGAGGCAGCAGUGGGGAAUAUUGCGCAAUGGGCGGAAGCCUGACGCAGCCACGCCGCGUGAGCGAUGAAGGCCUUCGGGUCGUAAAGCUCUGUGGGGAGAGAAGAACCAAGCCUGUGAAGAGCGGGCCCUGACGGUAUCUCCUUAGCAAGCACCGGCUAACUCCGUGCCAGCAGCCGCGGUAAUACGGAGGGUGCAAACGUUGCUCGGAAUCAUUGGGCGUAAAGCGCACGUAGGCGGUUUCGCAAGUUGGAUGUGAAAGCCCUGGGCUCAACCUAGGAAGUGCAUCCAAAACUGCGAGACUUGAGUCCCAGAGGGGGUCGGAGAAUUCCCGGUGUAGAGGUGAAAUUCGUAGAUAUCGGGAGGAAUACCAGUGGCGAAGGCGCCGACCUGGAGGGGUACUGACGCUGAGGUGCGAAAGCGUGGGGAGCAAACAGGAUUAGAUAC
rnacentral:rRNA from 1 species